rnacentral:misc_RNA from 1 species
UUUCCGUAGGUGAACCUGCGGAAGGAUCAUUUAUAAUAAAGUGUUUUAUGGCACUUUUUAAAAAUCCAUAUCCACCUUGUGUGCAAUGUUAGAUCUCGUCAAUCUUGGCGAGAUUUUUAUACAUCAACUCAUUCUUUAACUAAUUUGUCUGAAAAAUAUUAUGAAUACUUAAUUCAAAAUACAACUUUCAACAACGGAUCUCUUGGCUCUC